rnacentral:rRNA from 1 species
UACGGAGGGUGCAAGCGUUAUCCGGAUUCACUGGGUUUAAAGGGUGCGUAGGUGGGCAGUUUAAGUCAGUGGUGAAAUCUCCGGGCUCAACCCGGAAACUGCCAUUGAUACUAUCUGUCUUGAAUAUCUGGAGGUAAGCGGAAUAUGUCAUGUAGCGGUGAAAAUGCUUAGAUAUACAUAGAACACCAAUUGCGAAGGCAGCUUACUACCCGAAUAUUGACACUGAGGCACGAAAAGCGUGGGGGAUCAAAACAGG